rnacentral:rRNA from 1 species
AGCGAACGCUGGCGGCAGGCCUAACACAUGCAAGUCGAACGAACCUUUCGGGGUUAGUGGCGGACGGGUGAGUAACACGUGGGAACGUGCCUUUAGGUUCGGAAUAACUCAGGGAAACUUGUGCUAAUACCGAAUGUGCCCUUCGGGGGAAAGAUUAAUCGCCUUUAGAGCGGCCCGCGUCUGAUUAGCUAGUUGGUUGAGGUAAUGGCACACCAAGGCGACGAUCAGUAGCUGGUCUGAGAGGAUGAUCAGCCACCUUGGGACUGAGACACGGCCCAGACUCCUACGGGAGGCAGCAGUGGGGAAUCUUGCGCAAUGGGCGAAAGCCUGACGCAGCCAUGCCGCGUGAAUGAUGAAGGUCUUAGGAUUGUAAAAUUCUUUCACCGGGGACGAUAAUGACGGUACCCGGAGAAGAAGCCCCGGCUAACUUCGUG